rnacentral:rRNA from 1 species
UGCAAGUCGAACGGCAGCAUAGAGAGCUUGCUCUCUGAUGGCGAGUGGCGAACGGGUGAGUAAUAUAUCGGAACGUGCCUAGUAAUGGGGAACAACUAAUCGAAAGAUUAGCUAAUACCGCAUACGACCUACGGGUGAAAGCAGGGGAUCUUCGGACCUUGCGUUAUUAGAGCGGCCGAUAUCUGAUUAGCUUGUUGGUAGGGUAAAAGCCUACCAAGGCGACGAUCAGUAGCUGGUCUGAGAGGACGAUCAGCCACACUGGAACUGAGACACGGUCCAGACUCCUACGGGAGGCAGCAGUGGGGAAUUUUGGACAAUGGGGGCAACCCUGAUCCAGCCAUUCCGCGUGAGUGAAGAAGGCCUUCGGGUUGUAAAGCUCUUUCGCAAGAGAAGAAAGCUUGCUAUUUAAUAAAUAGUAAGUAUGACGGUAUCUUGAUAAGAAGCACCGGCUAACUAUGUGCCAGCAGCCGCGGUAAUACAUAGGGUGCAAGCGUUAAUCGGAAUUACUGGGCGUAAAGCGUUCGCAGGCGGUCUUAUAAGUCAGAUGUGAAAUCCCCGAGCUCAACUUGGGAACUGCGUUUGAAACUGUAAGACUAGAGUGUGUCAGAGGGGGGUAGAAUUCCAUGUGUAGCGGUGAAAUGCGUAGAGAUCUGGAGGAAUACCGAUGGCGAAGGCAGCCAUCUGGCCUAAUACUGACACUGAGGUGCGAAAGCAUGGGGAGCAAACAGGAUUAGAUACCCUGGUAGUCCAUGCCGUAAACGAUGUCUACUAGCCGUUGGGGCCUUUGAGGCUUUAGUGGCGCAGCUAACGCGAUAAGUAGACCGCCUGGGGAGUACGGUCGCAAGACUAAAACUCAAAUGAAUUGACGGGGACCCGCACAA